rnacentral:rRNA from 1 species
AAAUUGAAGAGUUUGAUCAUGGCUCAGAUUGAACGCUGGCGGCAGGCCUAACACAUGCAAGUCGAGCGGUAGCACAGAGAGCUUGCUCUCGGGUGACGAGCGGCGGACGGGUGAGUAAUGUCUGGGAAACUGCCUGAUGGAGGGGGAUAACUACUGGAAACGGUAGCUAAUACCGCAUAAUGUCGCAAGACCAAAGUGGGGGACCUUCGGGCCUCAUGCCAUCAGAUGUGCCCAGAUGGGAUUAGCUAGUAGGUGGGGUAACGGCUCACCUAGGCGACGAUCCCUAGCUGGUCUGAGAGGAUGACCAGCCACACUGGAACUGAGACACGGUCCAGACUCCUACGGGAGGCAGCAGUGGGGAAUAUUGCACAAUGGGCGCAAGCCUGAUGCAGCCAUGCCGCGUGUGUGAAGAAGGCCUUCGGGUUGUAAAGCACUUUCAGCGGGGAGGAAGGCGGUGAGGUUAAUAACCUCAUCGAUUGACGUUACCCGCAGAAGAAGCACCGGCUAACUCCGUGCCAGCAGCCGCGGUAAUACGGAGGGUGCAAGCGUUAAUCGGAAUUACUGGGCGUAAAGCGCACGCAGGCGGUCUGUCAAGUCGGAUGUGAAAUCCCCGGGCUUAACCUGGGAACUGCAUUCGAAACUGGCAGGCUAGAGUCUUGUAGAGGGGGGUAGAAUUCCAGGUGUAGCGGUGAAAUGCGUAGAGAUCUGGAGGAAUACCGGUGGCGAAGGCGGCCCCCUGGACAAAGACUGACGCUCAGGUGCGAAAGCGUGGGGAGCAAACAGGAUUAGAUACCCUGGUAGUCCACGCCGUAAACGAUGUCGAUUUGGAGGUUGUGCCCUUGAGGCGUGGCUUCCGGAGCUAACGCGUUAAAUCGACCGCCUGGGGAGUACGGCCGCAAGGUUAAAACUCAAAUGAAUUGACGGGGGCCCGCACAAGCGGUGGAGCAUGUGGUUUAAUUCGAUGCAACGCGAAGAACCUUACCUGGUCUUGACAUCCACAGAACUUUCCAGAGAUGGAUUGGUGCCUUCGGGAACUGUGAGACAGGUGCUGCAUGGCUGUCGUCAGCUCGUGUUGUGAAAUGUUGGGUUAAGUCCCGCAACGAGCGCAACCCUUAUCCUUUGUUGCCAGCGGUUCGGCCGGGAACUCAAAGGAGACUGCCAGUGAUAAACUGGAGGAAGGUGGGGAUGACGUCAAGUCAUCAUGGCCCUUACGACCAGGGCUACACACGUGCUACAAUGGCAUAUACAAAGAGAAGCGACCUCGCGAGAGCAAGCGGACCUCAUAAAGUAUGUCGUAGUCCGGAUUGGAGUCUGCAACUCGACUCCAUGAAGUCGGAAUCGCUAGUAAUCGUAGAUCAGAAUGCUACGGUGAAUACGUUCCCGGGCCUUGUACACACCGCCCGUCACACCAUGGGAGUGGGUUGCAAAAGAAGUAGGUAGCUUAACCUUCGGGAGGGCGCUUACCACUUUGUGAUUCAUGACUGGGGUGAAGUCGUAACAAGGUAACCGUAGGGGAACCUGCGGUUGGAUCACCUCCUUA